UACGAAGGGGGCUAGCGUUGCUCGGAAUUACUGGGCGUAAAGGGAGCGUAGGCGGACAUUUAAGUCAGGGGUGAAAUCCCAGAGCUCAACUCUGGAACUGCCUUUGAUACUGGGUGUCUUGAGUGUGAGAGAGGUAUGUGGAACUCCGAGUGUAGAGGUGAAAUUCGGAGAUAUUCGGAAGAACACCAGUGGCGAAGGCGACAUACUGGCUCAUUACUGACGCUGAGGCUCGAAAGCGUGGGGAGCAAACAGG
rnacentral:rRNA from 1 species